UACGGGGGGGGCAAGCGUUGUUCGGAAUUACUGGGCGUAAAGGGUUCGUAGGUGGCCUACUAAGUCAGACGUGAAAUCCCUCAGCUUAACUGGGGAACUGCGUCUGAUACUGGGGGGCUUGAGUGCAGGAGAGGAACGCGGAAUUCCAGGUGUAGCGGUGAAAUGCGCAGAUAUCAGGAGGAACACCGGUGGCGAAGGCGGAUCUCUGGGCCAUUACUGACGCUGAGGAGCGAAAGCGUGGGGAGCGAACAGG
rnacentral:rRNA from 1 species